rnacentral:rRNA from 1 species
GACGAACGCUGGCGGCGUGCUUAACACAUGCAAGUCGAACGGAAAGGCCCUGCUUUUGCGGGGUGCUCGAGUGGCGCGCGGGUGAGUAACACGCGAGUAACCUGCCCUUGACUUUGGGAUAACUCUAGGAAACUGGGGCUAAUACCGGAUAGGAGAUCCUGCUGCACGGUGGGGGUUGGAAAGUUUCGGCGGUUGGGGAUGGUCUCGCGGCUUAUCAGCUGGUUGGUGGGGUAGUGGCUGACCAAGGCUUUGACGGGUAGCCGGCCUGAGAGGGUGACCGGCCACAUUGGGACUGAGAUACGGCCCAGACUCCUACGGGAGGCAGCAGUGGGGAAUAUUGCACAAUGGGCGGAAGCCUGAUACAGCAGCGCCGCGUGCGGGAUGACGGCCUUCGGGUUGUAAACCGCUUUCGCCUGUGACGAAGCGUGAGUGACGGUAAUGGAUAAAGAAGCACCGGCUAACUACGUG